UUUUUCUUCUUUUUCUUCUCUUUUUUUUCUUUCCCUUUUUUCUUUUCUUCUCUUUUUUUUUUUUCCUUUUCCAAACCCUAGCCGCCACUCGCCUCUCCUCUCGUCCCCUGUUGCCAGUGAUCCCUCCGUCCGGUGGUGCGGCGGUGUUGACGACGGUGGUACUACGGCGGUGGGCGCGGUGGCACUGAUGCGACGGCAGUGGGCUGUUGCUAUUAUUAUUUUUUUGAUUUUUUUUCUUUUUUUUUUUGUGAUUGUGUGGGCGUUUUAGGUGGUGGAGGUAAGGGGAAACCGACGGUGGCGGUGGUUGCGUGACGGUGGUGAGAGGAGAACCGGCCAGAUUUGAGAUUUUUUUUUGAAGUUUCUCUGCUGUUUUUUCUUUUUUUUCCAAAAACCGAAUCCCUCUUCUCUUUCAAUUUUUUCUUUUUAAUCUUGCUGAUUUGUCUUCUUUCCCUUUGUCUUCAGGUGACAGUGGAGUAUUAUGGGCCUAGGGAGGCUGCCAGAGUAGCUGGAGGUGGCAGUGCACGCUCGGCUGCUGAUUGGGGGAUUUGACAUGUCUAGAAUGACUAAACUGUAGAGGAUGCAAAACUUUUGGGGAAAAGCAUAAUUUUAGAAAAAUAUGGGCCAAAAUGUAAUUUCUAGAAAGUUUAGGGGCCUGAAUGUAAUUUACAAAAUAUUAGGGGUCAAAAUGUAAUUUUUAAAAAAUUUAAAGGCUAAAAUGUAAUUUAUAUUUUUUGCA